rnacentral:rRNA from 1 species
AUUGAACGCUGGCGGCAUGCCUUACACAUGCAAGUCGAACGGCAGCACGGGUGCUUGCACCUGGUGGCGAGUGGCGAACGGGUGAGUAAUACAUCGGAACAUGUCCUGUAGUGGGGGUUAGCCCGCCGAAAGCCGGAUUAAUACCGCAUACGAUCCACGGAUGAAAGCGGGGGACUUUCGGGCCUCGCGCUUUAGGGUUGGCCGAUGGCUGAUUAGCUAGUUGGUGGGGUAAAGGCCUACCAAGGCGACGAUCAGUAGCUGGUCUGAGAGGACGACCAGCCACACUGGGACUGAGACACGGCCCAGACUCCUACGGGAGGCAGCAGUGGGGAAUUUUGGACAAUGGGCGAAAGCCUGAUCCAGCAAUGCCGCGUGUGUGAAGAAGGCCUUCGGGUUGUAAAGCACUUUUGUCCGGAAAGAAAUCCUUGACUCUAAUACAGUCGGGGGAUGACGGUACCGGAAGAAUAAGCACCGGCUAACUACGUG